rnacentral:misc_RNA from 1 species
UAUUGGGCCAACGAAGAUAAAAAAUAAAAAAAAAGGAAGUAGAAAUACAGUUCUUAAACAAGAAAGAAAAAGACAAAUGCAGAAUGUGCAUAAUCAUGAGGGUGCAAUGCCUUUUUGAAACUUGGGUAUGAUCAUUGUUUUCCAUGAUUUUUGUUGCUUAGCCUAGGGUACAUGUGUUGGAUACAUAUCCAUGUUCAACACAAACAUUCUCUCUUUGUAAUAAUUUCUCUAUUAUUUGGAGGAUCAUCCUGAAGUAAUAUCCAACUAGGCAUCUGACAAGCAUCGAACAACAUUGUUCAGUUAACUUAAAAAUUGUGGGAAAAUUCUCAUGUAUAUACUUAAUCAGAAAGUCGAGCUAGAAAAAAACUGUCCUCAGAUGUUCGGAUCAACACACCUAAUUAUCUAUGUAGCUUUCAAUCAUUUAGCAAAGACUAGGUAACCAAAUGUAUUCAGUUUUAAUUGUCGCAGCAACUAUUUUUAAGAGUUUCUGUUCAGGGUUUGUAUUGAAUUGCUUUAAUAAGUGAUAACAACUCAUGUAGGACU